UGGGGAAUAUUGGACAAUGGGCGCAAGCCUGAUCCAGCCAUGCCGCGUGAGUGACGAAGGUCUUCGGAUUGUAAAGCUCUUUUGGCGGGGACGAUAAUGACGGUACCCGCAGAAUAAGCCCCGGCUAGCUUCGUGCCAGCAGCCGCGGUAAUACGAAGGGGGCUAGCGUUGUUCGGAUUUACUGGGCGUAAAGCGCAUGUAGGCGGGCCGUUAAGUUAGGGGUGAAAUCCCGAGGCUCAACCUCGGAACUGCCUCUAAAACUGGCGGCCUGGACCUAAGUAGAGGCAAGUGGAAUUGCGAGUGUAGAGGUGAAAUUCGUAGAUAUUCGCAGGAACACCAGUGGCGAAGGCGACUUGCUGGACUUAUGGUGACGCUGAGAUGCGAAAGCGUGGGGAGCAAACAGGAUUAGAUACCCUAGUAGUCCCUGAGCGGGCUGGCAAGGCGCAU
rnacentral:rRNA from 1 species